UACGUAGGGGGCAAGCGUUGUCCGGAAUCAUUGGGCGUAAAGCGCGUGUAGGCGGUCCGAUAAGUCGGUUGUGAAAGUCCAGGGCUCAACCCUGGGAUGCCGACCGAUACUGUCGGACUAGAGUUCGGAAGAGGCGAGUGGAAUUCCCGGUGUAGCGGUGAAAUGCGCAGAUAUCGGGAAGAACACCCGUGGCGAAGGCGGUUCUCUGGGACGGUACUGACGCUGAGACGCGAAAGCGUGGGGAGCGAACAGG
rnacentral:rRNA from 1 species